rnacentral:rRNA from 1 species
GGGGUAUUGCCUCAGUAACGGCGAGUGAAGCGGCAACAGCUCAAAUUUGAAAUCUGGCUCUUUCAGAGUCCGAGUUGUAAUUUGUAGAGGGUGCUUUGGUGUUGGCCGUGGUCUAAGUUCCUUGGAACAGGACGUCACAGAGGGUGAGAAUCCCGUACGUGGCCGCCGGUCUUCACCGUGUAAAGCCCCUUCGACGAGUCGAGUUGUUUGGGAAUGCAGCUCUAAAUGGGAGAUAAAUUUCUUCUAAAGCUAAAUAUUGGCCAGAGACCGAUAGCGCACAAGUAGAGUGAUCGAAAGAUGAAAAGCACUUUGGAAAGAGAGUCAAAAAGCACGUGAAAUUGUUGAAAGGGAAGCGCUUGCAGCCAGACGUGCCCGCAGUUGCUCACCUAGGCUCUCGCCUGGGGCAUUCUUCUGCGGGCAGGCCAGCAUCAGUUCGGGCGGUUGGAUAAAGGCCUCUAUCACGUAUCUUCCUUCGGGAUGACCUUAUAGGGGAGGCGCAACACAACCAGCCUGAACUGAGGACCGCGCAUCAGCUAGGAUGCUGGCGUAAUGGCUGUAAGCGGCCCGUCUUGAAACACGGACCAAGGAGUCUAACAUCUAUGCGAGUGUUUGGGUGUAAAGCCCGGGCGCGCAAUGAAAGUGAACGGAGGUGGGAACCUUUCGGGGUGCACCAUCGACCGAUCCUGAAGUCUUCGGAUGGAUUUGAGUAAGAGCAUAGCUGUUGGGACCCGAAAGAUGGUGAACUAUGCCUGAAUAGGGUGAAGCCAGGGGAAACCCUGGUGGAGGCUCGCAGCGGUUCUGACGUGCAAAUCGAUCGUCAAAUUUGGGCAUAGGGGCGAAAGACUAAUCGAA